rnacentral:rRNA from 1 species
GGUGAACGCUGGCGGCGUGCUUAAGACAUGCAAGUCGAACGGCAGUCUUCGGACUGUAGUGGCGCACGGGUGAGUAACGCGUAACUGACCUACCCCAAAGUCGCGGAUAACGAUUCGAAAGAAUCGCUAAUACGUGAUGUGCUGUCAGAUUGUGUUCUGCCAGUAAAGAUUGAUUGUUUUGGGAUGGGGUUGCGUUCCAUCAGCUAGUUGGUGGGGUAAAGGCCCACCAAGGCGACGGCGGAUAGCCGGCCUGAGAGGGUGGCCGGCCACAGGGGCACUGAGACACGGGUCCCACCCCUACGGGAGGCAGCAGUUAGGAAUCUUCCACAAUGGGCGAAAGCCUGAUGGAGCGACGCCGCGUGAGGGAUGAAGGUCUUCGGAUCGUAAACCUCUGAAUCAGGGACGAAAGACACUUCGGUGGGAUGACGGUACCUGAGUAAUAGCACCGGCUAACUCCGUGCCAGCCGCCGCGGUAACAC